rnacentral:rRNA from 1 species
GAUGAACGCUGGCGGCGUGCUUAACACAUGCAAGUCGAACGGAAAGGCCAGUGCUUGCACUGGUGCUCGAGUGGCGAACGGGUGAGUAACACGUGGGUGAUCUGCCCUGCACUUUGGGAUAAGCCUGGGAAACUGGGUCUAAUACCAGAUAGGACCAUGCUUUGGAUGGUGUGGUGGAAAGUUUUUUCGGUGUGGGAUGAGCUUGCGGCCUAUCAGCUUGUUGGUGGGGUAAUGGCCUACCAAGGCGUCGACGGGUAGCCGGCCUGGGAGGGUGUACGGCCACAUUGGGGCUGAGGUAAGGCCCAGACUCCUAAGGGGGGCAGCAGUGGGGAAUAUUGCACAAUGGGCGCAAGCCUGAUGCAGCGACGCCGCGUGGGGGAUGACGGCCUUCGGGUUGUAAACUCCUUUCGCAACUGACGAAGCUUUUUGUGACGGUAGGUUGAGAAGAAGCACCGGCUAACUACGUG